UCAGGAUCUGUCACGUGAGACAUUUAAUGAGGAAGCAGUACACUCUAUCACACAGGAUUAUUACUCAAUUAAAACUAAAAUCAUCAAACACAGUAUCAGAUCAGAAGCCCUUACCUGGAGAAACAGCACCAACGCCUAACCCAUUCCAUCUCCUCCUCUCCUCUGACUACCGGAGCUCCACCCCGCCGCCACGGCGUCGUUCUGAGCCGGCGCUGACACACCCAACCUCAAGAAACAAGGUCAAAAGAAGGGGAACUUGUCACAAGAUGGCUUACAACCUCAGCGUAAGAAUCAAUAAUGAAGAUUUGAUAGAUGCUGAAACUCUAGACAAGACCCAAUCCCCUGUUUCGCUCCACACAAUUGAUAGCUAGCAACACAAUUCUUUUAAUUAGAACCCAAUCCCCUGUUUUGAUAUGUAUAAUCUGUUGCGGAAAAAGUUUCCUGCCAGAUCCUUCAUAGGAUCUCCUGUUCUUUGUGAUUCGGGAUUUGACUUGUUGAACAAACUUUUAGAUAGUGUUUAUUUUAACAAAAGUAUUUCCAGCAUAAAUCAGUUUAUAGAUUUAGCUCUUUUUUCAACGGUC